rnacentral:rRNA from 1 species
AAUGAACGUUGGCGGCGUGGAUUAGGCAUGCAAGUCGAGCGAGAACCCGCAAGGGGGACAGCGGCAAACGGGGUAGUAAUGUGUCGGAACGUGCCCUCUGGACGGGGAUAGCGGCGGGAAACUGCCGGUAAUACCCGAUGAACUCGAGAGAGCAAAGGUGUGAUUCCGCCGGAGGAGCGGCCGACAUGGUAUUAGCUAGUUGGCGGGGUAACGGCCCACCAAGGCUGUGAUGCCUAGGGGAUGUGAGAGCAUGAUCCCCACCAUUGGGACUGAGACACUGCCCAGACACCUACGGGUGGCUGCAGUCGAGAAUCUUCGUUAAUGGGCGAAAGCCUGAACGAGCGACGCCGCGUGCGGGAUGAAGGCCCUUGGGUUGUAAACCGCUGUCGAGGGGGAUGAAGGCAUUCAGGUACUCCUGAAUGUUUGACAGAGCCCUGGAGGAAGCACGGGCUAAGUUCGUGCCAGCCGCCGCCGUAAAAC